CGCGGUUCGCUGGAUUGCAUUUCGUUUUGGAUUUACCUUGCUGUGUUGACGUUCGAUCGUAUAUAAAGGCAAAACAGUUUGUGAAGACUGAGACCAACUAUACUCUGGAAGGUCUGCCGUCCGCAGACAUGUGGUUGUUCAUCACGACAGACCAGGCGGGUACCAGUGCACUGACUGUGGACGAGUGUUUUCAACUCGAAGUCAUCUCCAAGGACACCGCGUUUCCGGAUUCAUUGGGAUGAAUGAUCUAGUUUUUAUAUAUUGUUUAAUAAAUCGACAUUAUAAUGCAA